rnacentral:lncRNA from 1 species
UACUCAUGGAUAUUAGUCGGGUUCAUUACCACUGGGCCAUGACCAGAACUCUGGUAGUUACUUUCUUAAUUUGAGUUUUGAAGGUUCUUUAUUUGUUCUGAAUACAAGUCGUUAGAUAUGUUUUGCAAAGAAAAGCUUUUCUUUCUUUCUUUUUUAAUGGUUGCACCUCUGGCAAAUGGAUGUUCCCAGGCCAGUGACUGAAUCUGAGCUGCAGCGUGACCUGCACCACAGCUGUGGCAACACCAGAUCCUUAACCCACUGCACUGGGCUGGGAAUCGCACCUGUACCUCUUCAAUGACCUGAGCCACUUCAGUCAUAUUCUUAACCCACUUCACCACAGUGGAAACUCCUGUCUUUUAAUUUGUGUGUGUGUGUAUCUUUUUGUCCUUUUUUAGGGCCGCACCUACGGCAUAUGGAGGUUCCCAGGCUAGGGGUUGAAUCGGAGCUGUAGCCAACGGCCUACGCCAGAGCCACAGCAACGCAGGAUCUGAGCCGCGUCUGCAACCUACACCACAGCUCACGGCAACGCCGGAUCAUUAACCCACUGAGCAAGGGCAGGGACCGAACCCGCAACCUCACGGUUCCUAGUCGGAUUCGUUAACCACUGCGCCACCACGGGAAGUCCGGUUUUUUUGUUUUUAAUAGAUGCUUUUUAUUAGACUGAGGAAGUCCUGUUUCUAGGUAAUGAGAGUUUUUCUCACAGAUGGAUGUUGAAUUUUGUUAAAUAUUUCCUCGGCAUCAAUUGAUAAUGGUGAUGUGUUUUUUCUUAGUCUGUUAAUAUGGUGGAUUACAUUGAUUGAUUUUUGCAUGUUGAACCAGCCUUGCAUUCCCAAAUAAAGCCCAUUUGGUCCUGGUUCUUUUUAUUUAUUAUUGUAUUUGAUUUACUAAAAUUUUGUUGAGGGUUUUUGCAUGUGUGUUCAUAAGGGGAUAUUUGUCUGGUUUUCUUUUUUGUGCUGUCUCUGUGGUGCUGGUACUAAGCUAAUGCUGGCUUUAUGAAAUAAGUUAGGGAAUGUUUCCUCCUCUUCUUCAUUCGCGAGGAGAUUGUGUAUUAUUCUUGGAAAGUUUGGUCGCGUUCUCUAGUGAAAUCACCUGAGCCUAGAGAUUUCUUUUUGAGUUUUUAAGUUACAAAUUCACUUUUCCUAAUAGUUAUUAUAUCAGUUUCAUUGAUUUCUGCUUUUUAUUCUUUCUGUCCUCUUGCUUGCUUUGGGUUUAUUUUGCACUUUGUUUUCCAGUUUCUUUAGGUAGGAGCUUAGAUUAUUGAUUUGAAACUUUUUUUUGGUUCUAAGGUAAGCAUUUAGUGCUGUACAUUUUCCCUCUCAGCACUGUCUUUUAGCUGUGUCCCACAAGUUUUGACAUACGGUAUUUUCAUUUUCAUGCAGUUAUUUAAAAAAAUUUCUCUUAAGCUUCUUUAAGUUUGUCGAGAUUUGCUUAAUGGCCUAGAAUAUGUUUUAUCCAAGUACAUGUUCAAUAGUACAAUAUACUUCAGUGGGUGCUUGAAGUAUAUUGUACUAUUGUUGUGUGGAUAGCUCUGUAAAUGUCGAUUAGAGUCGUAGAUGGUUUUAUUGUGUCUUUAGAUUUUUAUUUUGUUUUGUUGUAGUGUUUUUGAGUAUCUUCUUGUGUAACUUGUUCAGUGGCACGGGUAAUUUAUCAUUGUCUAUUGGUGUCAACAUUUUACCAGGUCAAGUGCAGUAUAGAAACCUUACCUCCCCGUACAUCCUUUUAUCCUCUCGCAUUUAUAAUUAAUUGUAUGAAAUAGUCUCUCUACAUGUAUUGAAAACCACAUCCAACAGUAUCAUCACUUUUCUUUCAACUGUCAAAUGUAAUGUAGAACAUUUAAGAAGAGUCUACUGUAUUUAGCCGUAUUUUUCUCUUGUUAAUGUUCUUUCUUUUGUUCUGAUACUUUAAGUUGUUUUGUUGUUACUUUAAUCAUUUAAUUAUGUCUGGACACCUAGAACCUGUACUUUACCCAGUGCUCCCUGAUGAUUCUUCCAAAUGUGCGAGAUUGGGACAAUUACUGAGAGUCCAUUAGGGACAAAGGAGGGAAUAUUCUUCACACAUCAGACGUUUUGUUUGCUUGAUUGUUUGUUUGUUUUUUAAUUGCUUGGCUGCACCUACGGCAUGUGGACGUCCCAGGGCCAGGGAUCAAACCGGAACCAUAGCCACAAUGAUACCGCAUGGUUGUGCAGUAAGCACAAGGGACCGUUUCAGACAUGUUUUGGGUAGUGGUUGUAUAGACAAGUUUUGGUUGAGGUAGUUAGAAUAUAAUAGCUAAGGAGGCAGGAACUCAACUACUCAUUUUAAGAAGAAUUAUGAAAAAAUUGGUUUCUGUUCUUUUCAGUCCAAAAUGUGAACAGUACCCAUUCUGUUACCUUCAUUGUAUGAGUAACUAUAACUAGUCUGAAACUAAAGAAAGAAUGUGCGGUGUAAGGUUAUUUGUGGAGGAGUCACUGUAACCUAAACACUAAAGCACUGUAACCAAGAGCCCAGUGUUCCCGUGUGGUUGUGUGGUAUUGUACAAAACCCUUCUUUAGGAUGCUGUUCUGGAACAUUAAUUAUUACCUGUGAGGAUGAAGAACAGUUUCCUUAGAUUUUUGUAUUUGUUUGGUGGUAACUAUGGAGAAUUUAUUAUAGUAUAAAAUCACCAUCUUUUGAAUGCUUAACUUUCACUGUGCUAAGUGCUGUAUGUAUAACGUGGAUCAACAAUCCUGUGAGGUAAAAAUCAUCGGGAGGAGGUCCCAUCAUGGCGCAGCAGAAAAGACUCCUGGCCUCGCUCAGUGGGUUAAAGAUCCGGUGUUGCUGUGGCUGUAGUGUAGCUCCAAUUAGACCCCUAGCCUGGGAACCUCCAUAUGCCUCGGGUGCAGCCCUAAAAAGCAAAAAAAAAAAAAAAAAAA